UGCCUCCCAAGCCCGAUGACCCAAGU
rnacentral:piRNA from 1 species